UUGAGCCUUCGCUUUGGGCUGAAACGUAGAAACGCCCAAACCAAACGGUUUUGAGCGUGUUCGUUUCCUCCCUCUUCUACCGCCAACUGACCACCACAUCCUCCUCGUCGCGAUCGCCACUGGGAUCGUCUCCAUCGCGGUGGAAGUCAUCGUAGUCCUCCAAAGGGGGUUCAUAAAGGCUGGUCAAGAAUCAAGAUAAUACCAAAAGAGUUUCCAAGAAAGGUGGAUAUCCGACAAGGAUGUUGACUUCAUGAUAGAAGAAUUUCUCUUACCUUGCUGAAGAAGUUGUUAAAAGCUCGUACGGAAAAUGUGUUGGAAACUUUUUUUCAAGAUGCUGUGAUGCUAGUUUGUUAAGCGAAUUAUAUUCUGAUGUAGAAGCCUUGUGGAUUGUACAUAAUGGACGAUAGGUGACGUUCUACGGUGUCAAGUGAGCUACAUUUGAAGUUCAUAUGUAAUGGACAUGUAUUCUUCUUUUAAUAAACAUGUAGCAGACAAAUAUUCUUGAUUGAAUAAUAGGGUCUCUUAUAUUCUGAUUUUGACAUAGCAGCAACACCUUGGGAUGGCUCCUCCAUUGUUUACUCUAAUAUUUAUUUUUUACUGCAUAUCCCAAUCUAAGAUAAAAGAGGAUGG